CAAGCCCUGGAAACGGGGUCUAAUACCGGAUAUGACUGUCCACCGCAUGGUGGAUGGUGUAAAGCUCCGGCGGUGCAGGAUGAGCCCGCGGCCUAUCAGCUUGUUGGUGAGGUAGUGGCUCACCAAGGCGACGACGGGUAGCCGGCCUGAGAGGGCGACCGGCCACACUGGGACUGAGACACGGCCCAGACUCCUACGGGAGGCAGCAGUGGGGAAUAUUGCACAAUGGGCGAAAGCCUGAUGCAGCGACGCCGCGUGAGGGAUGACGGCCUUCGGGUUGUAAACCUCUUUCAGCAGGGAAGAAGCGCAAGUGACGGUACCUGCAGAAGGAGCACCGGCUAACUACGUGCCAGCAGCCGCGGUAAUACGUAGGGUGCGAGCGUUGUCCGGAAUUAUUGGGCGUAAAGAGCUCGUAGGCGGCUUGUCACGUCGGAUGUGAAAGCCCGGGGCUUAACCCCGGGUCUGCAUUCGAUACGGGCAGGCUAGAGUUCGGUAGGGGAGAUCGGAAUUCCUGGUG
rnacentral:rRNA from 1 species